rnacentral:sRNA from 1 species
ACUCCCAAAUUUUAACCUAAAGGUACUUUUUCGUAAUGCCUGUAAGGUUAGCUCUCACAUCAUUUCAUAUUCGACUCCAAAACACUAACAAAGCUUCUUCUUGCUUCUCAAAGUUUUGAUGGUGUAGACGAAGUCCGUAUGAGUGCUUGUCUUUGUAUCUUCUAACAAGGAUACAAUACUUAGGCUUUUAAGAUCUGGUUGCGGUUCUAGUUGUUAUACUCACUCAUACUUAUGCUUUGUAUGAGUGAGUAUAACAAAUAGAACCGCAA